AAAUUGUUCUACAACAGAUUCCAUGAUUUUGAUGAUAACAAAGGAUGAAACCAAAAAUGGCACCCUAACGAAAAGUUUCUAAGUGUGCAGGAUUCUAAGGAAAGAAGGAAGAGAUCUGAUGACGUCAUCAGAUACAAAAUCAUAUCAGAUACAAAUUAUCAGAAGAUCAGAAGCAUCUGAAGUAGAAACACGCUCAAGAAGUUCUAACUCUGAGCAAAUCAGCAGAAUAUCAGAAGCAUCUAUAGAAGAAGUGCACUCUAGAAGUUCUGACUCUGAACAACGGUAUAUCAUUCUAGAAGCUCUCAGCGUCAUCUGAAGACAUCAUCAGAACUCCUUAAGAUAAACAUCAGAAGCUCCGAAUCAACACAGCAAGAUUCCAAGAUUCCCAGAGUCACGCAGACUUUGAUAAUGGAUUUCCUAAUACAGAAAGAGUAACGUUAACUUCAAAUUCAAAUGGAAAGGAACUAUAUUUGGAAAGAAGUUAUUCGGGGAGACAAAGUUGUUUUGGCAAGAAACAACAGAAGUUAUGGCAUUAAUUCCUAUUCAAGACAAAUUAUCUGCCAUCAAUUUCAACGGUCCUUUCACUCCUAUAUAAAGGACAN
rnacentral:lncRNA from 1 species